UCACUAAAAACUCCUGCCGCUCACAACCG
rnacentral:sRNA from 1 species